AUAGACGGGGGAUAAUCUCCUGCUAGAUAUCCCCAUUUUGUGUCACAGUUGCUUCGAGGGAAUCAGUGUUAUUGCAAAUAGUAUUAAGUGAGCUGCUUUUCAAUAACGAUUUAAUUUACGAUGGCUCGCUAUACACCUAGCGAAAUUGUCGAUAUGCUUGUGGCUUUGAGAGAAUGUGAUGAAUUUGGGAGAAUUAGUUCUGUCACUUCCGAAAUGUUAUUUAGGGAUAGAGUAAAUAAUUGUAUUGACGUCCAAGAACAUCCUUCUGAAUACGCGCGAUAAAAAACAAUUUUUUUGGACGGAGGUAAGUUUUGGACUGCAAAAAAUAAUCUUAAAUGACCUUAGAACACCAAUAUAUCGAAAUUCGGCGAAUUCGCCAUAGAACGGGCUACACGUCUAUUUAAAUAAAAAUAUAUUAGUUCCGUAUAAAAAUCACAAAGAUUAUCUUAAAAGUACGUCCACCUGGAGAAGAUUUGCGAUCAACGUAAGAUGACCUUCCCGGAACAGGGUAAGUUUUAUUUGCAACAUAUUUUAAGCGAGCUGUAGUUUGGGAAAUAAUAGCGUGCGAAAUUUUAAAUGGGAUACCCUCUAUAUGCAUAAUAGAAUAUAAUACAUAUAUAAUGGAUAAUUCUCUGCAGAAUAUAAUAUGUAAUAUAAUAAAUAUAUAGAAUAGUAAAGUAUACUGAAAAUCAUACAGCAGUCACUGUAGCUCAGCAAAAGUCAUUCUAUAAGAAAAUUACAAAUCAAAAUUACAGUAUGCGAUAAAACCUAUGAAUAUUGUGAGAUAUAUGCACAUUUUGCGUUAUACGAAUUCAUUUAUACAAAUAUCAGCUUCAAACGUUUCUCUUCAUAUCAUUUCAUUAAGAAGCAUUUUACUUUCAUUAACAAUUUUCCAAAUCGUGUUACGAUUUAUUUACAAAACGGAAGAAACUUGAAACCAGUACAAAACCAAUUCCUUUCUUUCCGCCCGAAAAACAGUAUCAUCGCCCAAGAGGAAACACAUUUUCCUUUUAUCGAUCAGAGGAGAGUAAUCCAUAUUCACGGUUUCGCGAGAAUAUCGGAGGAAAAGAGAAGAGAGAGAGGGGAAAAAAAGGAAGGAUUUUCCCGGUUGUGAUUGUUAUUAUUCCGUACGGAAAAAUCAGGCCGGAUAACGCGUUAUCGGGUUGAAAUGUCCUCGGAAGCGCGCGAAUCUCUGAGCGAAAAACAAAGAUGUGAACGUCGUUUGCCCCGCGGUGGCACUCUCGUAACGCAGAUUAUUCUAUUACACGUUACGUAAACAGAGAUAAAGAGAAAGAGAAAGAGAGAGAGAAAGGGAGAAAGAAAAGAGAAACAGACGAGGGAAACGCGGCGGAGCUGUUCCGCCGCUUUCCGCGUCUCGGUACCGCGAUGUUGUUUGGCCUGAAAAUACGUUAUUGUUUCACCACGAUAAAAAAUUCAACGUUUGGAUAAUUACAUCAGAGUUGAUCGAUCCGGUUAGCCCCCGGCGGAUUUCUACUGAGUUACUGACUUACUUUGCCUACCCUUUGCUGUUUUGCCGCGAGACAGAUGUUUACACGACCGACGUAAUAACGUUAAAUUAAAUUCCUUUUCGGAUAUUUCGCGUUAAGUUCUACGUUUUCUAAGUCGUACAUGAUAAAUAUAAUUCAUCGUAUAGAUUGAUACAGAGUAUAGAAGAAGGUAGAGAGUAAUCGUAUUUCGCUUCAAUUCGUAGUUGCUAAAUUUUAUGUAAUAAUAAUUAUCAAUAGGUUUAUCGUAGAACAAACUGGAAUACGUAUUACAUUAAAUAUUUUAGAAUUACGUGAUCUCUAAUUCAAAUGUAGUUACAUUGAAACUGUUACGAUUAUCUUAUCUUGCCAAACGUGUAUCUAUCUCGUAGAAUAUAGAAUACAAAUAAGAAUGAAAUAAUCCAGAGAGAUUAUUAUUGAAUUUCUGUCGUUACCGCAACGGUAUGAAUUUCCAUUCUGUUUAAUAUCCUUGCUUUGUCAGAGAUCGUGAACUGUAUCGUAGAAUAUAGGAUAUUUGCAUACGGAAAUUAUUUUGUACUUAUACCUCUAUCGUUAAAUACUUCGGCGUUCUGCCUCUUAGGUUCACAUAGUGUACCACAUUACACGCAUAAAUCCAAAUUAUAAAGGCCCUUUCUUCUCUUUCGUGACCGGGGGCACGCUUCGAACGAACGGGAGGUUCAGCUGCGUGCGUGCGCGCUCCAAACGAAAAUGCGUCUAUCCGCGCGGAUUUCCAAGAGCAAGAUAGAAGAACGAGCAAAGAACGAAUCAGUUUUCGAUAGAACCACCCGUGCGUGACAGCUGCGAUUCUUUUUUCCGAAUCUUUCUUUUCCUACUUCUUCCUCUCCCUUUCUCUCUCUCUCUCUCUCUCUCUCGAUCUUUGAAGCUUCGUGUUUUGCCCGGCUACAUAAUCCCUUCGAGCAAGAGGAACCGUGAAAGGAGGAAGAAAAACCGAGCGAAUCCAACGAAGAUGAAAUGAGAAACAGAGAAACGAUGAAGGAAAAGCGAUCCAAGUGAAUCGACGAGAGGGAACAGAGUAAGAUGGGAGAAAAAAAGGAGAGAGAGAGAGAGGAUAAACGUUGAAGAACAAGGACGAGGAAAACCGACGACCCCGCUGUUUGCCUUUUAUUAAACUCUUGUUAAACGCCGCCUUUCUUCGCACACACAAUUGAAUCGGCAAAACAGCGAAGAUAAUGCUUCGACCGAGUUGUACACGGCCGAGGGCCAGGCUCUUCUACGUGGAAGACUUACCGCAAACACCAGCUUCUUGUACACCCUGAAAUGGACACCGUGUAAUCCGGCUUUUUAUACGGCAGUGCCGCAUUGACCGGCUCCUCCAAGGCAUGCACAUCGGCUACUAGUGGCUAAUAAAUACUGUCGUCAUCUCUCUCUCUCUCUCUCUAUCUCUCUCUCUCCCUAUACGUUUCCGUUUGUUCGUGAAAAAGAACCCUGAAAACGAUUCUUCAACGACCGUGAAAAUCGCACGGCCCACCCUCUUCCUGCCGGCAUCGUUCACCUCUAAUGAAAAUAUUUGGAUAUUUCGAGCAAGAUUGGCGUGACCCACGUUUCAAAGCGUGCCAUUGUACGCCGUUGCUUCGAGAAGCUUGUAACUCGAUAAGACCGGAAAUCAAAGGUUAUAAACAGCAAAAUACCGACACAAAGUGGCACGAGAUAUCGUGGAAUGCGUGUUGCAAUUCAUAGAAUUGCAAUGGGAGUCCGAGUUACGUAUAGAAUAAGCGCGUAAUGCAUUUAAUAACCCUUGCGCAGUUCGUCAACAAUUUUUCUACCCAUUCUUAUUCCUUUCCUCUUUCAAAUAAACUUUCCAAUUUUAUAGAGAAACCAUCGAUAACAAAUUUCCGUACAUUAAAUUUGUUUUGAAAUUGAAAAAAGGGGAAUACGAUUCAAGAACCAUCGUUGAAUUUAUUAUUAAACGAUACCGGUAACGUCGAUUAUUAUAUUUGUAAGUUCGUUAAAAAAUAAGUUACGGCACAGUCAAUUUCUCGUUACGAUUUUUCUUUUUUUUUUUUUUUUACAAUUACCACGAUCGACAAAAGAAAGGACGGGAGAGACGGAAGCGUGGAAAUCAAAUGGAAGGAAGAAAGAAAAAAGAGAAUAUAGUUGUGCACAGUUUAUAAACAAUGUUUAUUUUCUGCAAUUUUACUUCUGUUCCAUAUCGUUUCGUUCUUUUUUCUUUCCCUGUUUUAAUUCUCUUUUACAAUCAUAGGAGCAGCCUACAUUUAACGUGAUUGAAAAAUCUUGCGCCAUUGCGAAUGUGAAUGUUGAAUAUGUAUACAGCACAUAUACAUGUACAUAACACACACAUAUAUAUAUACACAUACCUUUUCAUUUCAUUCUUAUUUUACUUUAUAUAAUGUAUAUCGAGGUAAAAACUAAGUACUCAUAAAAAACGUAGAUCAACAUUUUUCUCUUUAUUUUUUUCAAUUUUUUCUCUCUCGUUCUGGUGGGAUAUCGUUUAUAAGGGCACAUUAUAGGACUCUCUAUGUGUACAUACAUAUACAUAUGCAUGUGUUCUCUAUACAUAUAUUAUAUAUACACAUACAUUUUACAUACUUUCAAAGAGAUAUGACAUCCGGAUAUCGCUUUCUUCGUUCAACUCGACUCAACAAAAUUCCACAAUAUAUCUGCGUGAUUCUCUUCGUUCCCCUUCUUCUUGUCUUUCUUUCUUCUAUUUUUCCUUUUCCUUCUUUCGCCCCCUAUUGACUAGUGACACUGAUAAUUGACUAAUAAAUACUGAGCUGCUACGAGAUUAAGGUAUACAAUGGAUUGGAGGAGACAGCUAAGCUUCUUCUUUUACACGAAUCAAGCCACUACAUUUUACGUAACUCAAAUUCGUUUUGUAUAGUCUUAAUGUUACUUACUAGGAGACGAUGGCACGUUGGAUUGACGUAAGGAAAAAGAAGUAAAA